rnacentral:rRNA from 1 species
AUGUAUGAUCAAAUGAUCUUAUCGAGACCACACAAUCUGAUCUCGGAAGCUAAGCAAAGUCAGGCCUGGUUACUACUUGGAUGGGGGACCACCUAGGAAGACCAGGUGCUGUAAGCA